UUGGAGGGCAAGUCUGGUGCCAGCAGCCGCGGUAAUUCCAGCUCCAAUAGCGUAUAUUAAAGUUGUUGCAGUUAAAAAGCUCGUAGUUGAAUUUCGGGAUCAAUACGUCGGUCGUGCUUUUUUGGUACGCACUGGCGUCAUUGGUUUCUCCUUUCUGACGAACCAUGAUGUCAUUAAUUUGGUGUUAUGGGGAGUUAGGACUGUUACUUUGAAAAAAUUAGAGUGUUUAAAGCAGGCAUUAGCUUGAAUACAUUAGCAUGGAAUAAUGAAAUAGGACGUUCGAUCCUAUUUUGUUGGUUUCUAGGAUCAACGUAAUGAUUAAUAGGGAUAGUCGGGGGCAUUAGUAUUCAAUUGUCAGAGGUGAAAUUCUUGGAUUUAUUGAAGACUAACUACUGCGAAAGCAUUUGCCAAGGAUGUUUUCAUUAAUCAAGAACGAAAGUUAGGGGAUCGAAGACGAUCAGAUACCGUCGUAGUCUUAACCAUAAACUAUGCCGACUAGGGAUCGGAUGAUGUUAAUUUUUUAAUGACUCAUUCGGCGCCUUACGGGAAAC
rnacentral:rRNA from 1 species